AUGGCCGACCCACUGCGCAUUCCUCCUCCGUCAGCUCCGCCCCACGGUUCUACUUCCUCCAUGCAACCCCUUCCCCUACUCUCUUCCACCACCGCACGCGUCCGUGCCCGAUCCCCUCAACCUCUGCGCCUCUGCGUCGCCCCAAGCCUCGUCUCCCUGUCGCCAUGGCCCGGCGCCCGCGCUUCUGCUGGAGCUGCCACUGGACCCGACUAUCUUCUGCCGCAGCUCGCCGAAGCUCCUCUGCUACACCCGUCCUCUGCCCCGACUCCAUCACCGGAUCGCCCCGCCCCCGUUGUCAUCCAUGCAACCAAGCCCAGGCCGUGCCCUGCCUUCCACCGCCUCGCCGGUGACCUCCUCCACACUGGAUCCAGCCUCGAUGACCCAUCCCCGACCUCCCUGUUCGACUCCUCGUCGGAUCUGGAGGUCCUCGUCGUGCCCCUGCCUUGCUGCGUUCUACACCAGAGUUCCCCUACCGAUGCCUUUGUUCAGUCACCUCGCAAAGGAGACGACUAG
rnacentral:rRNA from 1 species